AGUUUGAUCCUGGCUCAGGAUGAACGCUAGCGGCAGGCCUAAUACAUGCAAGUCGAACGGGAUUUAAUUUGGAGCUUGCUUUAGAUUAAUGAGAGUGGCGUACGGGUGCGUAACGCGUGAGCAACCUACCCAUAUCAGGGGGAUAGCCCGGCGAAAGUCGGAUUAAUACCGCAUAACAUUAAGGGGUGGCAUCAUCUUUUAAUCAAAUAUUUAUAGGAUAUGGAUGGGCUCGCGUGACAUUAGCUAGUUGGUAAGGUAACGGCUUACCAAGGCUUCGAUGUCUAGGGGCUCUGAGAGGAGAAUCCCCCACACUGGUACUGAGACACGGACCAGACUCCUACGGGAGGCAGCAGUAAGGAAUAUUGGUCAAUGGAGGGAACUCUGAACCAGCCAUGCCGCGUGCAGGAUGACUGCCCUAUGGGUUGUAAACUGCUUUUAUACGGGAAUAACCGUGGGUACGUGUACCCAUCUGAAUGUACCGUAAGAAUAAGGAUCGGCUAACUCCGUG
rnacentral:rRNA from 1 species